CAUGGAAAUUGGGAACAAGCACUUACUCGCUUAGAGGGUGAAAAAAGUGAAUUUGCCUACAGGGCCAAUUUGGAAGCACCUCUCCCUGGAAGCCAGUCAAUGAAGAGCCAUUGGAGGAUUUUAAAUAAGGAACCGAAAAAUGGAGUCUGAAAAUAGAGGCGCAGAGACCGGUCAACCACAAUGAAGAACAAGCCAUUUUGACCUCCAUCCUGGCUCAUCUCCUCUGUGUUCUCAUAGCAUCAUAUUAUAGAAUGGAUCACAAACGCCUUUGCAGUUGCCUAUUUAUUUGUCCAUUUCUCCCUCCAGACUGCCUUUGUGAGAAAAACACCCAAAUGCCACAAGUGCAUCCCCAGGGAGGUGCAGGGUGGCAGGAGCUGAGGAUGCAAAAACAUAAUUGCUUUCUAUCUACUCUGAUUUGAGCUUCAUCAAAUCCUUUGGCUCCCAAGGCAUUCUGCAGCAGAUGUGUGCACAAUAUUCCAGCACUAGGACUUGUGUCUGCGGGUACUGCUCGAGGCCCAAGAGUCUGAGGGUCUGCAAAGCCUCCAAGCCCUUCCCCUUCCUCCCAGGCCUCAGGGCCUGUGCUGGCCACCCUCCUAUACAGCCCUUACUUGGCAUUCUUGCUAAGUCCUGUGGGGGCUCCAUCCUUGACUCUUUUCAUUCCACGCUGAUGUCUUCUGGGCUCUGCGCCUCAGGGGAGAACUUGCAAUGCUAGUAAUAAACAAAGAGUACUCAUGAUAAAAAAUGAA
rnacentral:lncRNA from 10 species